AUGGGCAUGCGUGACAUUAGCUAGUCGGCGGGGUAACGGCCCACCGAGGCGACGAUGUCUAGGGGUUCUGAGAGGAAGGUCCCCCACACUGGUACUGAGACACGGACCAGACUCCUACGGGAGGCAGCAGUGAGGAAUAUUGGUCAAUGGGCUUACGCCUGAACCAGCCAAGUCGCGUGAGGGAAGACUGCCCUAUGGGUUGUAAACCUCUUUUGUCAGGGAGCAACGCCGGCUACGUGUAGCCGGACUGAGAGUACCUGAAGAAAAAGCAUCGGCUAACUCCGUGCCAGCAGCCGCGGUAAUACGGAGGAUGCGAGCGUUAUCCGGAUUUAUUGGGUUUAAAGGGUGCGUAGGCGGAAUGCCAAGUCAGCGGUAAAAUCGCGGGGCUCAACCUCGCUCCGCCGUUGAAACUGGCGUUCUUGAGUGGGCGAGAAGUAUGCGGAAUGCGUGGUGUAGCGGUGAAAUGCAUAGAUAUCACGCAGAACUCCGAUUGCGAAGGCAGCAUACCGGCGCCCAACUGACGCUGAAGCACGAAAGCGUGGGUAUCGAACAGGAUUAGAUACCCUGGUAGUCCACGCAGUAAACGAUGAAUACUAGCUGUUCGGGG
rnacentral:rRNA from 1 species